rnacentral:rRNA from 1 species
AGUGAACGCUGGCGGUAGGCCUAACACAUGCAAGUCGAACGGCAGCGCAGUAAGAGCUUGCUCUUACGGGUGGCGAGUGGCGGACGGGUGAGGAAUACAUCGGAAUCUACUUUUUCGUGGGGGAUAACGUAGGGAAACUUACGCUAAUACCGCAUCCGACCUACGGGUGAAAGCAGGGGAUCUUCGGACCUUGCGCGAUUUAUUGAGCCGAGGUCGGAUUAGCUAGUUGGUGGGGUAAAGGCCCACCAAGGCGACGAUCCGUAGCGGGUCUGAGUGGAUGAUCGGCAAAACGGGAAGGGGAACAGGGUCAGGACGCUAAGGGGAGGAAGAAGGGGGGAAAAUUGGAAAAGGGGGGCAAGCCGGAUCCAGAAAGACGGCGGGGGGGAAGAAGGCGUUGGGGUGGUAAAGCCCUUUUGUUGGGAAAAAAAAGCAGCAGGUGAAUAACCCGCUGUUCUGACGGUACCCAAAGAAUAAGCACCGGCUAACUUCGUG